rnacentral:lncRNA from 1 species
GUUUUUUGCCAACAAAAGUGGACGUUGGUUCCAUUGUGCACAGUACGCCUUCGAAUAUCACGUGAUGCCGUUGAGUUUUGUGCUUAUCCCGAGACUCCAGGCCGAAACUCAACGAUCACGGAGAGAAAUCGGGGCUGCUUUCAAUGCCAGGUGCUGGAGAACCGGAAGGAAACCGAGUAAAACUAGUUCAAGCACAUAGCGAUACGAUUGGAAAAAUGGGAAAAGCGGGCCACAGGAGCACCGGCAAGGAAAACCUUUGGCGUGCUCGUUUUGCAUAAAUAAUAUUGAUUUAUUGGGUAGCGCAGCAUUUUGCGGUUCAUAAGCGGGCAAUCUUAAUGCCAAAGAAGCCGAAAUGGUAGAAUAAACGAAACGAAUAAGAAUAAAGAAUAAAGAAUAAAGAAAAGGCGGAAGCCCCAAGUAUGACACAC